UGAGGUAGUGGUUGUAAUAGCU
rnacentral:miRNA from 1 species